rnacentral:rRNA from 1 species
CUACCCGGGUAUCUAAUCCUGUUUGCUCCCCACGCUUUCGCGCCUCAGCGUCAGUCAAGGACCAGGUCGCCGCCUUCGCCACCGGUAUUCUUCCCAAUAUCUACGAAUUUCACCUCUACACUGGGAAUUCCACGACCCUCUUCCAAACUCUAGUCCACACGUAUCAAAUGCAGCCCCCAGGUUGAGCCCAGGAAUUUCACAUCUGACUGUGCAAACCGCCUACGCGCCCUUUACGCCCAGUCAUUCCGAGCAACGCUAGCCCCCUUCGUAUUACCGCGGCUGCUGGCAC